rnacentral:rRNA from 1 species
UGGGGAAUAUUGCACAAUGGGGGAAACCCUGAUGCAGCAACGCCGCGUGAGUGAAGAAGUGAUUCGUUAUGUAAAGCUCUAUCAGCAGGGAAGAAAAUGACGGUACCUGAGUAAGCAGCCCCGGUUAACUACGUGCCAGCAGUCGCGGUAAUCGCUCUGU